CCCUUAGAUGUUCUGGGCGGCCCGCGCACUACAUUGGCACUCUCAAUAAGUUCCUAGAUCUAAAACGUUGGGGUAUUCUAUUAAGUGGUGUCGUGACUGGGAUUAACCCUUGCAAUUAUUGGUUACGAACGAGGAAUUCCUUGUAAUCGCGGUUUAUCAGCCCGCGUUGAAUGCGUCCCUGCCCUUUGUACACACCGCCCGUCGCUCCUACCGAUGAAUCGUCCGGUGAAGUUCAUGGAGUGGUGGUUGUUCCAGCUGCUGUCGAAGUGAAAUGGACCUCACGAUUUAGAGGAAGGAGAAGUCGUAACA
rnacentral:rRNA from 1 species